rnacentral:rRNA from 1 species
CCUACGGGAGGCAGCAGUAGGGAAUAUUGCUCAAUGGGGGCAACCCUGAAGCAGCAACGCCGCGUGGAGGAUGACGGUUCUCGGAUUGUAAACUCCUUUUUUUAGAGAAGUUAAUGACGGUAUCUAACGAAUAAGCACCGGCUAACUCCGUGCCAGCAGCCGCGGUAAUACGGCGGGUGCAAGCGUUACUCGGAAUCACUGGGCGUAAAGCGCGCGUAGGCGGGAUAGCAAGUCAGAUGUGAAAGCCUAUGGCUUAACCAUAGAACUGCAUUUGAAACUGUUAUUCUAGAGUAUGGGAGAGGUAGGUGGAAUUCGUGGUGUAGGGGUAAAAUCCGUAGAGAUCAAGAGGAAGACUCAUUGCGAAGGCGACCUGCUAGAACAUAACUGACGCUGAUGCGCGAAAGCGUGGGGAGCAAACAGGAUUAGAUACCCCUGUAGUC